rnacentral:rRNA from 1 species
GACGAACGCUGGCGGCGUGCUUAACACAUGCAAGUCGAACGGAAAGGCCCUGCUUUUGUGGGGUGCUCGAGUGGCGAACGGGUGAGUAACACGUGAGUAACCUGCCCUUGACUUUGGGAUAACUUCAGGAAACUGGGGCUAAUACCGGAUAGGAGCUCCUGCUGCAUGGUGGGGGUUGGAAAGUUUCGGCGGUUGGUGAUGGACUCGCGGCUUAUCAGCUUGUUGGUGGGGUAGUGGCUUACCAAGGCUUUGACGGGUAGCCGGCCUGAGAGGGUGACCGGCCACAUUGGGACUGAGAUACGGCCCAGACUCCUACGGGAGGCAGCAGUGGGGAAUAUUGCACAAUGGGCGGAAGCCUGAUGCAGCAACGCCGCGUGCGGGAUGACGGCCUUUGGGUUGUAAACCGCUUUCGCCUGUGACGAAGCGUGAGUGACGGUAAUGGGUAAAGAAGCACCGGCUAACUACGUG